UUAAAUAAAAUGAACGAUCUCACUUUUAUUUACAUUUCCAAUAAUAACCUCGGAAAUGCAACUUCAGAACAAUUCGCGAAACCAGCGUAAGUGUUAUAACGAGCAGACCCACAGAAAAUCUUCGCAGUGUUUCAGGUUUCAAGGGAAAUUUAGGAAUGUAAAUUCUUACGCGGUGAGGUUGGUAAACCGCAUUUGAGUCAAACUUUACAACACAGUAAAUAACUUCUGUUUUAUCGCAUUUUACAUCCGCUGACGACGCUACUGUCAAUGAAAUGAUUCGAGUUUCCAGUUGUGUAUCGACGUUGUUUUCUGGAGAACAAACAAAGUUCUUGUGGCCGUUAUUGUGUUCACCCUACAGGAUGUCAAUCAGCGAAACAAGUGCAUUGUUAUAUUCCCCUGGGAGACAUCGGCAGCUGUUCACGAUACUCGACCUCACUCAAUAGCGCACCACACGCGCGCUGUGAUUGGUCGGUUGCUUCGUUGUGUCGAUAGCCGGUAAAUUGGUAUUAUGACGCAAACCAUUGAUAACUUAAUGACGUCUCUAUGACAGGCGGAGACCACUGACAAUGCUUUGCGCGCUGGCUUUCAGGCUUGGCAGCUGUUGAAUCUGUGUCCGGUAGAUGCUCCUGCUUCAGUCUACGCUAGCUUUAAACCUUUGAUAAUCUUCACACGUCCCCCAAAACAGCCUUUUUUUACGCCUGAAGUAUCGACCAUCAUCUAGCGAGGCAGCGUCCAGAUCUCGUGAUUCGUCGCGUGAAUUUCCACGGUCUCUUCAUCGUGCUGGUCAUGUCAAACCACAGCGCACUGAGUUCCUCAUCUGAUGGCGAGAGGAGAACCCCUCAGGAUAACUGUGACGGCAAGCGAGCCGCUCGCGGCCGGGGUGCCAGCCCCCGGCCCCUGAAAUCAGCUUCAACAUCUGCUAAGAGAAUUCAGCGAGAACUGGCCGAGAUCGCUUUGGAUCCUCCACCAAAUUGCAGGUAAUAUUUCCUCAUCCUUCGACCUCAAAUAAGACACCAGACUCCUGAAUCCCUUGUUUGGACUGAAAACAAUAGAUCUACACGGUUUUGUUUCCUGAAUUAUGCCAGGUUGCCAUAAAGCCUUGAUCAUUACUAUAUUGAACAACACGACUGGUCCUCUGGCAAAACACGAUUUUCCUAUCCAGCUUAAAAAAACAGCGGGAAUUCUCAUCAAAUAUGCCCCCGAUUAGGAAAUUUCUGCCAACAAGAUAGACGCGUAAGGAUAAAUUAUUUAUUUUAAGUGGUAAAGACAUUUACUAUAAAGCCACGUGGGAUUUGAAUGUGCAAAGAGCCUUUGUUUUGUUAACUUCAACUAGAUAUGCUAAGCCUGGCUGCGCACGGUUUGUUCCUUGACAACUGUUUGUCAUAAUAAACUCGUUUUUCUGGUGACAGAGGUUAAAAUAUCGUAUUCGACUUCUAUCCUUUUCCACAGUCAAGCUGUUGUAUUCGUCUUUGGUAAUUUUUGAAAUGCUGUAAUUGAUACGUUAAAUAUUUAAAGGACUGAACAUUUAGCGAGACCUCGUUGUGCGGCAAAAUGCUUGAUUUAUCGUCUCCCAAUCUUGAUAUAUUGUAUGUAAAUGCACAAUUUCACCUGCCGUGCAAUAAUAUUUCGUAUCCAAGUCUUCAAGCAAAACACGGUUUCUCAACUCGGUCAUUUCAUUAAAACAUUACCCAAGCAAAAGUCGACAUAAGUUCAAUUUGAUAACGGGGAUUUCUUGUCGUUUAUUGUAGCUAGUUCUUCAAUAUUUUUUUAUGGCGUUUUGGAAACGCAAUAUUUGCCUAAUCGUCUGGAAUUUUGCUAAUUGCAGAGGUCCAUACUACUUAACAUCACUGGAGCUGCUAAGUGUUCCAUUAAGUUUGGCAAAGAGCAAAUUCAAACAACACAAGACCGCCUAUCUUAGUAAACGUAUGCUAACUUUAGAGAACCGUUUGGGAAAGAAUCUCGUCAAGUUAUUAAAAUAGUGUCCGAGUAAGCUGCACUUUGCUUUGAUCAGGCUGUAAUUAGCCUUGUCCAGCCAGUAUAGAUAACAGCACGCGGUCUCCAUCUUACAUGUUUUAUAUUUUGAUCAUUUCAUUUCAGUCGUGGGAAAAUUUACAUAAACAAAUAAAACUAGUUGUAGUCAAAUUGUGAGUUCUCGUGGGUGUAAAUAAUAUGUCAUUCAAGACAAAAACAUUUACAUUGUGCUUGUAUUACUGUUUACAACUUCAAACGGUUUUUACUCGAUGAAUCUGCAUUGUACAAUAUUGUGUUAUUAAUGAGGUUAAGGCGGUCUAUAUUGACCCUAUAUUGUUCCAAAAUGAUGCCGCGGUUUUCUACAUUAUUUAUAAAUUCUUUAAUGUGCUAAGUCAGUGUGCAAUGCCCUGAUCAAAACCACCUAUGAUUCUCUGAUUAAAAUGCCAUUUACGAGACUUCAAGGAACACUUGAGGUAUUAAGAAUUUGCAAAAGAUAUUUCCUUUCCACUUCGCAAGCGAUAUAUUAAGGACCAACAUUAAACGUUUUACGGUACACAGACUAAGUAAUCUGUACAAUACACUAGAGAUAAAUGUUUUUGUCAAUGUAACAGGCUUUAUGAAGCAACGUGUUAACGAGUAGUGUUCAAAUUGCGCCAUAAAUCUCUGCAAUCCGGUGAAUUUUUGACAAAAAAUCAAUAAGGCAUAGAUCUGAACCAAAAAAUUUCGGAUGCACUGAAGAAGGACAGAGUAGGUUUAAAUGAUUAUUAAUUAAACUGUGAGGAAUUUUCUGAGCAGCGUAAAUUGGAUUUAUCUCUACUAACUAAUUUAAUCGUCCCAGCUAUAUAUAGCACUUUGACUAAUCCUUUUUGUUAAGUUUCUUCCGAAAAGUCCUUACUGUAAAUUUAUGAAAUUUUUCAACGACAAGCCUUGCUUUUCAGAAAGCCACGUAAGCUUCAUUAAUAAGGUUUCAUUAUUAUUAUUUUUUUAUAUAACAUAGGAAAGGGCUGCUAAAAAUUGUCAGCACGCGCGAGCGGUCCGGAAUAAAGAUAUCUGUGCCUUUCGUUAGCCAAUCAGUUUGCACGAUUCAUUUCAUCUUGACCGCACGUUGAGCGAAAAGAAGAAAAUAAUAUAGUUCACCGGAUAUAAUUUUUGACAAUUUUAAGCUGGCGGCAAAAUGUUCUUAAUUUAUUCUACGGUAUUAAUGUCAUCUGUCUAAAGUUACGCAUAACGACACAAAAGUAAUUUUUCUUCUAAAUAUUUAUCUGUGCCAGAAAAACUGAGAUUUUCUUUUAACGAAGACCCAAUCAGACAGACAAAGAUUUAUGAUACAGAUUUCUACCUUAAAAAUACCCUGUAACGUACAAAUAUUUUAUAAACAAUCGGUCAUUCGGCCUGCGAAAAGACCGAUAAUUAUGCACAAAAACAUUUUUAACCACAUUAAAUAAUUUAAC